rnacentral:rRNA from 1 species
UACGUAGGGUGCGAGCGUUAAUCGGAAUUACUGGGCGUAAAGCGUGCGCAGGCGGUUUUGUAAGACAGGUGUGAAAUCCCCGGGCUUAACCUGGGAACUGCGCUUGUGACUGCAAGACUCGAGUACGGCAGAGGGGGGUAGAAUUCCACGUGUAGCAGUGAAAUGCGUAGAGAUGUGGAGGAAUACCCGUGGCGAAGGCGGUUCUCUGGGCCGGUACUGACGCUGAGGUGCGAAAGCGUGGGGAGCAAACAGG